GACGAACGCUGGCGGCGUGCUUAACACAUGCCAGUCGAACGGUGAAGCGCCUUCCUUUUUGGUGGGUGUGGAUGGGUGGCGAACGGGUGAGUAACACGUGAGUAACCUGCCCCCUUCUUCUGGAUAACCGCAUGAAAGUGUGGCUAAUGCGGGAUAUUCUGGGUCUGUCGCAUGAUGGGUCUGGGAAAGAUAUUGUUUCGGUGGGGGAUGGGCUCGCGGCCUAUCAGCUUGUUGGUGGGGUGAUGGCCUACCAAGGCGGUGACGGGUAGCCGGCCUGAGAGGGUGGACGGUCACACUGGGACUGAGACACGGCCCAGACUCCUACGGGAGGCAGCAGUGGGGAAUAGUGCACAAUGGGCGCAAGCCUGAUGCAGCGACGCCGCGGGAGGGAUGGAGGCCUUCGGGUUGUGAACCUCUUUCGCCAGUGAAGCAGGCCUGCCUCGUUUGUGGGUGGGUUGACGGUAGCUGGAUAAGAAGCGCCGGCUAACUACGUG
rnacentral:rRNA from 1 species